UGGGGAAUUUUGGACAAUGGGCGCAAGCCUGAUCCAGCCAUGCCGCGUGCAGGAUGAAGGCCUUCGGGUUGUAAACUGCUUUUGUACGGAACGAAAAGACUCCUUCUAAUAAAGGGGGUCCAUGACGGUACCGUAAGAAUAAGUCACGGCUAACUACGUGCCAGCAGCCGCGGUAAUACGUAGGUGGCUAGCGUUAUCCGGAUUUACUGGGCGUAAAGCGGGCGCAGGCGGCUCUUCAAGUUGGAUGUAAAAUCUCCCGGCUUAACUGGGAGGCGACGUCUGAUACUGUUGAGCUUGAGGGUAGCAAGGGUAGACGGAAUUCCCGGUGUAGCGGUGAAAUGCGUAGAUAUCGGGAGUAACACCAGUGGCGAAGGCGCCUUUCUGGACUGUGUCUGACGCUGAGAUGCGAAAGCCAGGGUAGCGAACA
rnacentral:rRNA from 1 species